rnacentral:rRNA from 1 species
GACGAGGGGUCCUAGCGUUGUUCGGGAAUCAUUGGGCGUAAAGCGUGUGUAGGUGGCUAUUCAAGUCAGCUGUGAAAGCCCGGGCUUAACCCGGGAAGUGCUUCUGAUACUGUUUGCUUGAGUACUGGAGAGGAUAGUAGAAUUCCUGGUGUAGUGGUGAAAUGCGCAGAUAUCAGGAGGAACACCGAUGGCGAAGGCAGUGGUUCUGGGCCAGUACUGACGCUGAGGAGCGAAAGGCGUGGGGAGCAAACAGG